AGAGUUUGAUCCUGGCUCAGAUUGAACGCUGGCGGCAGGCCUAACACAUGCAAGUCGAGCGGUAACAGGGGAAGCUUGCUUCUCGCUGACGAGCGGCGGACGGGUGAGUAAUGUAUGGGGAUCUGCCCGAUAGAGGGGGAUAACUACUGGAAACGGUAGCUAAUACCGCAUAACGUCGCAAGACCAAAGAGGGGGACCUUCGGGCCUCUUGCCAUCGGAUGAACCCAUAUGGGAUUAGCUAGUUGGUGAGGUAAUGGCUCACCAAGGCGACGAUCCCUAGCUGGUCUGAGAGGAUGAUCAGCCACACUGGAACUGAGACACGGUCCAGACUCCUACGGGAGGCAGCAGUGGGGAAUAUUGCACAAUGGGGGAAACCCUGAUGCAGCCAUGCCGCGUGUGUGAAGAAGGCCUUCGGGUUGUAAAGUACUUUCAGCGAGGAGGAAGGCAUUAAGGUUAAUAACCUUGGUGAUUGACGUUACUCGCAGAAGAAGCACCGGCUAACUCCGUGCCAGCCGCCGCGGUAAUUC
rnacentral:rRNA from 1 species